rnacentral:lncRNA from 1 species
AGCCGGCGUACGUGUAUGUAAAUUCGUUGCUAUCCGAAGAAUCGCUCCAUAUAUAUCGCUGGUUCGCUGUUAUUACUGUCAUCUCCAGCUCUGUCCAUUCUACUGGCAGCAGCUAGCUUAUGCCUUAUGGUCAUGUGGAUGACGAUCGAAUGAAUUCUAUAUUCUGGUAGCUUAGCUAGCUAGGCAGGUAGAUAGAUAGCUACUGACUAGAUAAAAUGUUGCUGAAUUACAUGGAGUGUGAUCUCAUUAUAUAUCCUUCUUUGUCAUCACAUCUUAGUAUGUUAGGUUGUUGCUGCAUUGUAUGUAUUCGAGCGAGCUGAAAUGAGUGCUUCCUUUUAUCUUGUGGUACCGUUGAUUCGUGUGUGCAAGUGGGAAAGGUCGGAUGAUUAUUAUUACAGUUAUUUUUUUCAGAAAAAAGGUUGAUUAGAACUAAGUAUUUCUUAGUACUGGUGCAACUUAAUUGACAUGGUCUUCUAGAUCAGAGAGUACAUAUCUGUUCGAAAGAAAGUAAGGGGAGAAAAAGAUCCGAUUAUACCGGCAGCUAAAUAUUUUUGCCAAGUUGACACUUUUCAGAGACA